CCUACGGGUGGCAGCAGUGGGGAAUAUUGCACAAUGGGGGAAACCCUGAUGCAGCGACGCCGCGUGGGUGACGAAGUAUUUCGGUAUGUAAAGCCCUAUCAGCAGGGAAGAAGAUGACAGUACCUGACCAAGAAGCCCCGGCUAACUACGUGCCAGCAGCCGCGGUAAUACGUAGGGGGCAAGCGUUAUCCGGAUUUACUGGGUGUAAAGGGAGCGUAGGUGGCAUGGCAAGCCAGAAGUGAAAACCCGGGGCUUAACCCCGCGGAUUGCUUUUGGAACUGUCAGGCUGGAGUGCAGGAGGGGCAGGCGGAAGUCCUGGUGUAGCGGUGAAAUGCGUAGAUAUCAGGAGGAACACCGGUGGCGAAGGCGGCCUGCUGGACUGUAACUGACACUGAGGCUCGAAAGCGUGGGGAGCAAACAGGAUUAGAUACCCCAGUAGUC
rnacentral:rRNA from 1 species